rnacentral:rRNA from 1 species
AUGUACAAACUCCUUGAAAGCAACCUUGCAGGAUGUGACUAUCGAUGGGUCUGGAAAGCUAGUAUUCCACUUAAGAUCAAAAUCUUUAUGUGGCAGUUAUUUCAGGACGCGGUCCUAACUAGAGAUGUUAUGAAACGGCAAAAUUGGGCUGGUAAUGCUAAGUGUUUGUUUUGUGCUGCUCGUGAGACGGCGCAACAUCUUUUCUUCCUAUGCCCUGUUGCCAGAGUGAUCUGGCGAUCGGUGGGGGCGAUCCUGGGCACCGAUCUUUGUCCUAAUAAUCUCUGGCAGUAUUACACUUGGUGUUAUAUUUACCUUCCUGAUGGUGCUAAGUUCUAUACCUUCGGUCUUGCUGCAUCUGUUGGGCAAUUUGGAACAGUCGUAACAGUGCAACCUUUGAGUUUAAGCUCCCUAAAACUCCUUUUGAGAUUGUCUUUUCUGCGUGUGUCUUCAUCACCUACUGGGUAG